GACGAACGCUGGCGGCGUGCCUAAUACAUGCAAGUAGAACGCUGAAGGAGGAGCUUGCUUCUCUGGAUGAGUUGCGAACGGGUGAGUAACGCGUAGGUAACCUGCCUGGUAGCGGGGGAUAACUAUUGGAAACGAUAGCUAAUACCGCAUAACAGUAGAUAUCGCAUGAUAUCUACUUGAAAGGUGCAAUUGCAUCACUACCAGAUGGACCUGUGUUGUAUUAGCUAGUUGGUGAGGUAACGGCUCACCAAGGCGACGAUACAUAGCCGACCUGAGAGGGUGAUCGGCCACACUGGGACUGAGACACGGCCCAGACUCCUACGGGAGGCAGCAGUAGGGAAUCUUCGGCAAUGGACGGAAGUCUGACCGAGCAACGCCGCGUGAGUGAAGAAGGUUUUCGGAUCGUAAAGCUCUGUUGUAAGAGAAGAACGAGUGUGAGAGUGGAAAGUUCACACUGUGACGGUAUCUUACCAGAAAGGGACGGCUAACUACGUG
rnacentral:rRNA from 1 species